UACGUAGGGAGCUAGCGUUGUCCGGAAUCAUUGGGCGUAAAGCGCGCGUAGGCGGCCCGGUAAGUCCGCUGUGAAAGUCAAAGGCUCAACCUUUGAAUGUCAGCGGAUACUGCCGGGCUAGAGUCCGGAAGAGGCGAGUGGAACUCCUGGUGUAGCGGUGGAAUGCGCAGAUAUCAGGACGAACACCAACGGCGAAGGCAGCUCGCUGGGACGGAACUGACGCUAAGGCGCGAAAGCGUGGGGAGCGAACAGG
rnacentral:rRNA from 1 species